rnacentral:rRNA from 1 species
GUGGCGAACGGGUGAGUAACACGUGAGCAAUCUGCCCCUGACUCUGGGAUAACAGUUGGAAACAGCUGCUAAUACCGGAUAUGAGACGUGACCGCAUGGUCGACGUUUGGAAAGAAUUUCGGUCAGGGAUGAGCUCGCGGCCUAUCAGCUUGUUGGUGAGGUAAUGGCUCACCAAGGCGUCGACGGGUAGCCGGCCUGAGAGGGUGACCGGCCACACUGGGACUGAGACACGGCCCAGACUCCUACGGGAGGCAGCAGUGGGGAAUAUUGCACAAUGGGCGAAAGCCUGAUGCAGCAACGCCGCGUGAGGGACGACGGCCUUCGGGUUGUAAACCUCUUUUAGCAGGGAAGAAGCGAAAGUGACGGUACCUGCAGAAAAAGCGCCGGCUAACUACGUGCCAGCAGCCGCGGUAAUACGUAGGGCGCAAGCGUUAUCCGGAAUUAUUGGGCGUAAAGAGCUCGUAGGCGGUUUGUCGCGUCUGCUGUGAAAAC